rnacentral:misc_RNA from 1 species
GAUAAAGAAUAUGGAUCUGGAGAUCAGGCGUCGAGAAUCAACAGGAUCUGGAGCCAACACUCAUGUCGAGACGGAGACACUAGCUAAGUAUGAGCUGAUGGAUGGAGCUCCAGUAAGAGGUGAAUCUAUUCCGGUGAGGCUAUUUCUUAGCCCUUACGAGCUGACGCCUACACAUCGUAACAUCAACAACAAAUUCAGUGUGAAGUAU